rnacentral:rRNA from 1 species
CUUGAAUAAUUAUAAGAGGUCCAGCCUGCCCAGUGACUCUGUUCAACGGCCGCGGUAUCCUAACCGUGCGAAGGUAGCGUAAUCACUUGUUCUUUAAAUGAGGACUCGUAUGAAUGGCACCACGAGGGUUAUACUGUCUCCUUUUUCUAAUCAGUGAAACUAAUCCCCCCGUGAAGAAGCGGGGAUUAGCAUAUAAGACGAGAAGACCCUAUGGAGCUUUAAACUCAAUAACAAAUACUAUCCACUUUAAACUUUCAGAGCAAAAACCUUUACUUUAGUACUAUGAUUAUUAGUUUUAGGUUGGGGUGACCGCGGAGUAAAAAUUAACCUCCACAUUGAACGGGACUAGUCCCUGAGCAAUAAACUACGACUUUAAGCACCAAUAAAUUGACAUCAAUUGACCCAAUAUUUUGAUCAACGAAC